rnacentral:misc_RNA from 1 species
GUAGGUGAACCUGCGGAAGGAUCAUUACUGAAGACCAUAGGGUUUUGAGACUGCGUCAAUAUUGGCGUGUUGCUCGACCCUUACUCUUUAUCCACACACACCUUUGUGCACCAUGGGACGAUAAAAAGUCCCCUUUUUAUACAUAAACACCAAGUUAUAUGCAUGUUUUUAUACGCUCUACGGAGUAAUAUACAACUUUCAACAACGGAUCUCUUGGCUUUC